rnacentral:lncRNA from 1 species
CUUCCCAGUAUCCUAUCAUGAGUCUCCAUUUCAGAUCUGUUUCUAGUAAACUCAACCUAAGAAGAUGAAUACCAGAAAUGGUUCUAGGAAGUAGACUCUACAAGAAAGUUUUGAGCUGAAUCACCUCCUGCUGGAUGGUAGGAAAACCUAAGGUCAGUGUCUGAAUGAGAAACUGAACGUGUAUAUCAACUACCAUAUUGCCAUCCUUCAACUCUCCCAGGCGAAUAUUUCUGAAGGCUAUUGCUCAAUCUAGCCAGCUGACAAGCACAGGAGCAUCACAGGAGGCAAGAAGAUUCUAAAAGCGAUGGAACAGGGAUUAAACAGGAGAUAACCAUGACAACACCAAGGCAAGAACAUGGAAGAAACAGAAAACUUCUGGCUUCUUUAGGAAGGGUAAGAUGAGAAUGCAGUCCUAAAACCCUCUUGGGAUUUCAGGCAAGACAUCAAUAACUAUAAAAUCAUCACAAACAGAGAAGGGAAGAGUACACAAGAGGAAUCAUUGGGCCAAGAGGAAUCAUUCUAUCAAUAUAUCCUAGUAACAAUGACUGUUACCAUAAAGACAAAAACGUGUGCUGUGAGGACAUGGAGAAGGGGGACUCUCCUACACCACUGGUAAGAACAUGCAUUAGUACAACCAUUAUUAAAAAAACUGUGGAAUUUCCUCAAAACACUAGACGUAAAACUAACACAUUCUGAGUAUGUUGCUCCAGGCUCAGUAAGGCCCACUCCUCAGGGUUCCAUGACACACAGUCCGAAUGACAAUAGUGAUUUCCUUCUCUGGCUUGUUUACUUCACUAUAAACUUCUAAAGGGGAAUUUUUUUGUCAAGAAAUAAUUGUUCCUAUUUGUGGAAUGCAGUACAAAAAUUUGAUCAAAUAGAAUGCAUAAUAAUGAAAUCAGGGCAAUAAGCAUUUCCACCUCCUUACAAUGUUAACAUUUCUUUGUGCUGGGAAAUUUCAAAUUUCUCUUGCUCUUCAUAAAAUAUAUAAUAAAUUGUUGUGAUCUAUAGUCACCCUACAAAGUUAUUUCUCCUGUGAAAUUGUUAUCCACCCUUCCUCUAUCACACAGCUGCAUAAUUUUCCUAACCUCCAGUGACUACUCUUCCAUUCUUUGCAUUUAUAAUAAUGAAAUUUUUAACUUCCACAUAUAAGCAAGGUCAUGUGUCAUUUCCUUCUGUGCCUGGCUUAUUUUACUAAGGGUAAUGUCCUCCAGUUCAUCCAUGUUGCCACAAAUGACAUGAUUUCAUUCUUUUUAUAGCUAAAUAAUAUUCCAUUGUGAAUAGACCACAGUUUAAUUUACCCAUUCAUAUUUGCUGGACACCUCUUUGAUUCCAUAUCAUGACUACUGUGAGCACUGCUGUAAUAAACAGGAAUAUGUCUCUUUGAUAUACUUAUUUCAUUUCCUUUGGAUAUAUAACCAGUAAUGGAUUGCUGGAUUAUGUGUUAUUUCUAUUUCUAGUUUUUUGAGGAAAUUCCACACAGGGUUUUUGUUUGUUUGUUUGUUUUUGCUUUUGUUUUAUAAUAGCUGUACUAAUUUACAUUCUCA